AACGGCGAGUGAAGCGGGACUAGCUCAGGAUGUGAAUCUGCGCUUUUAUGGCGCCGAAUUGUGGUCUGUAGACUUUGACAUUAUUUGCCGGGCCAAGUUCCUUGGAAAAGGACAGCUGAGAGGGUGACACUCCCGUCCGCCUGGUAAAGUGAGUCAUUUGUCAACGAGUCGAGUUGUUUGGGAUUGCAGCUCUAAUUUGGUGGUAAAUUCCAUCUAAAGCUAAAUAUUGGUGGGAGACCGAUAGCGUACAAGUACCGUGAGGGAAAGAUGCAAAGAACUUUGAAAAGAGAGUUAAAGAGUACCUGAAACUGCUGAAACGGAAGCGAAGGAAACCAGUGUUUGUUUGUUCAUAUUUCCCUGGCCACUUGUGGUCUGGGCGCUGUGGACUUGCGUGAGUUUGGGUUGGUUGAUCCCUUUGGAAGAGCGCAGUCAGAGUUGAUGUCUGUUGCUAGCACUGGGUUUGACUGAUGCAGACGAAAUGGUUUUCUUUACCCCGUCUUGAAACACGGACCAAGGAGUCUAACAUAUGUGCGAGUACAGGGGUGUCAAACCCCCGUGCGCAAUGAAAGUGACAGUGGUUGGAAUUUUUGCACAAUCCGCCGGCCUCAAUCCCUCGGGAGAACGGUCUGAGUGUGAGCAUACAUGUUGGGACCCGAAAGAUGGUGAACUAUGCCUGAAUAGGGUGAAG
rnacentral:rRNA from 1 species